CCUCCCACCGAGGAGCGCUGCAACCCCAUUAUUAAAUCGGCACCUGCGGUCGGGUUUCGACCACAGGUGCCGAUUUAGUCGCGGGGCCAGGCUCGGUGAGGAGGUAUCUUCAACGACGGCGCUCACUCUGA
rnacentral:ncRNA from 12 species